rnacentral:rRNA from 1 species
AUGGCCUACUUCGAUGAGAAAGCAAAGGAAGAUCCAUAUUUCUUCUACAGGAUAAGGUUGGAUGAUGAGGACCGUGUCAGGAACAUGUAUUGGGUGGAUGGUGCUGCAAGAAGAGCCUACAAACAUUUCCGUGACUGCAUAUCAUUCGAUGCGACAUAUCUCACUAAUAUGUACAAGAUGCCAUGCGCUCCAUUCAUAGGAAUAAAUAACCACAAUCAGUCAUUGCAGUUUGGAUGCAGGCUCGUUCGGAACAAAGACAUUGAUGGGUACACUUGGCUAUUCAAGACCUUCUUGGAGUGCAUGGAUGGACUUGCUCUGAUGAACAUAAUAACUGAUACGUCUACAAUGUAUAUAUAA